rnacentral:rRNA from 1 species
GACGAACGCUGGCGGCGUGCUUAACACAUGCCAGUCGAACGGAAAGGCCCUGCUUUUGUGGGGUGCUCGAGUGGCGAACGGGUGAGUAACACGUGAGUAACCUGCCCUUGACUUUGGGAUAACUUCAGGAAACUGAGGCUAAUACCGGAUAGGAGCUCCUGCUGCAUGGUGGGGGUUGGAAAGUUUCGGCGGUUGGGGAUGGACUCGCGGCUUAUCAGCUUGUUGGUGGGGUAGUGGCUUACCAAGGCUUUGACGGGUAGCCGGCCUGAGAGGGUGACCGGCCACAUUGGGACUGAGAUACGGCCCAGACUCCUACGGGAGGCAGCAGUGGGGAAUAUUGCACAAUGGGCGGAAGCCUGAUGCAGCAACGCCGCGUGCGGGAUGACGGCCUUCGGGUUGUAAACCGCUUUCGCCUGUGACGAGGCGUGAGUGACGGUAAUGGGUAAAGAAGCACCGGCUAACUACGUG